GCUCUGGUGCUGGCGGACCUCGGGUCGCGCAGUCAGGUAGCUGCCCGCUGGCGUCGGGCGGGUGCCGCCCUUGAACCUCUUUGUUCAUACACUGUCCUGCGGCCCGGACGGUGUCUUGACGCUGCAUGCCGGUCUUUGUCCUGCCGGAGGCACUGAGGACUGGCGGCUCCCGGGGCCUCAGGCCGAAGUUGUGCGAGCGCGGCCCAGGCGGGUGGCCCUGAGGCCGGGAGCCUCGCCUGGGCCGGAAACGGGGACAGCGGGGGGCUCCUGCACAGGGGACCCGCCGCGCGCUUCCCCGCCACGUUUGGGGAGGGAGCGGGGACGUCCUGGCGUUCGACCCUCGCCUCCGUAUCGGGACGGCGCGGCCCCAGUCAGCGCUGAGCACUUCUCGGCCGGGUGUUCUGACCGUCACCAUUGUUGCUCUGGACUACUCUUCAGCUGAAAGUUGUUUCAGGCAGGUUUGCUAGUCCGGAAUUGGGUGGGAGAGAAUUCCAAGGAGAGAGAGGAAAGGCAGAGGCAAUGGCAGUGAGGGAGCAGGAUGCUUCAGAGGAAUUCCAGUGGCUGCUGUGGAUACAUGGUGGCGGGGACAGGGGAACAGGUGCCACCUGAUCGUGCAGGUCCCUGUCGUCAUAUUCAGGAGUUUGGACUCUGCAGUCCACAAUCUCAGUCUUAUUUCUGCAGCUGCUCUAAGAUGGCGAAACUCACCUUCAGGACAUGCUCCCUUGGGCUAGGAGAUCAGGUGGGCUCCGGGUGAUGCGCAAGUCCACCCCUCUAGCUGCAGUUCCGCCUUUUUCUCUACAACCAAGCAAACAUUUUGGCAGGCACGUGUGAGUGACGACCUUGAAACCAAUCUGAUUUAUUUUUCUGAAAAGUAAGUUAUUGACAAAUGUCAAUUUUUAAUAUCAACUUAUUUAGGAUGUAUCUCCAAACCUAUCCUUACACACAGUAUGUCUCAGCAAGGCAGCUAUAAGCCCUGGUGAGCUAAUGAGUCUUCCAUCAGGAAAGUAAAAUGGUCAAAUAUUGUUCUAGGAAAAACAUUCUAUUGAUUUUCUUCAGAAUCUCUAGCAAAGCACUUGAUCAGGUACUCAGAAAACAUUACCAAAUUGAAGUGGCACCACGUAUGCAUUAAAGGAUUUGGGAAGGAAUCUCGAUUCAGCAUACAAGGCUUACGUUUCCUGAUGGGCUUUUCUUUAAGUAAAAUCAACAAAUGGUGUUCAGCACCUAUUGCUGAUUAGUGCUGUGGGGUGACACCAAGCAGUAUGUGAAAUGACCUCUAGUCUUAAGGAGUGCUCAUCGUGGUUGGGGACAUAAACUAACAUACUUUAAAUACUAGGCAACAAGUGAAACAUAUUGUAAGGAGUAAGGGUUGUAAUGUUUCUGUCCCCCGCCCCCCCCAAGUUCAUAGGUUGAAAUUAAUCCCAGCGUGAUGGUCUUUGGAGGUGGGGCCUUUGGGAAGUGAAUAAAUCAUGAGGGUGGAGCCUCAUGAAUGGGAAUAGUGCCAUAACGAGGCCAGAGAGCUCUCUUGCCCACUUUCCACCGUGUGAGGAUACAGUGAGAAGAUGGCCUGCAACCCAGAAGAGAGGCCUCACCAGAACCUAACCAUGCUGGUGCCUGAUCUGAGACCUCAGCGCCUCCAGAGCUAUGAGAAAUGAAUUUCUAAACCCAGUCUAUGGUACUUUGCUGUAGCAGUCUGAACAGUCUAAGACAGGGAUGAAAAAGCUUCAAGGAGCAAGUUUGUGAACUGAGCCUGGAAGGAGGAGUAGGAUCUGACAAAGGGUUAGAAGAGGAAGGACUCCAAGCAGAAGGAGCAAACCUAGGAAAGAGACUGAGGGAAAAAUUCAGGAGACCAAACUCUCAUGCGCAGGAGGUUCAUGCUGAGGGGAGCAGGAAGCAGAGCUGGACUGGGGAGGCCUUGAAGGCAGGCAGAGCAAGGAGCCCCACCAGGUGACUGCUCAUUGGCCUCCCAGAUGGAUUCGAUGGUAUCGCUCAGAUGAUGGAACAAAAAAGAAAAAGAGAAAACACAAAUGUGACAUGUGAAAAAUAGGAAUGAAAGAGAAAGAUAAAAGAGAAGGAAAAUCUUCCCAGGUCUAGAAGAUACAUUCUCGUAUCGAAAGGGCCCAGCAGGUGCCCAGCACAACAAACCUAGGAAGACCAACACCAAGGCACAUCGCCACAGCAUUCAGAACACCAAGGAUAAAGAAAAGAUCUUCAGAGUUUCCUGAAGGAAAAAUGAAAAGGUCACAUUUAAAGGACUGGAAAUCAGAAUGGCAUGGAAAUUCUCCACAGAAUCCCAGGAAGCUGGAAUACAAUAGGGCAUUAACUUCAAAAUUCUGAAGAAAAUAAUUCUAACAUAGAAUUCAACUCUCACUAUAUUAGCUGUUUGUGGGUAGGAUGUAGAUAUUUUCAGAUAUCCUUAUCUCAGAAAGCUACUGGAGGAUAUUCUUCUCCAAAAUUAAGAAAUUAGCCAAGAAAGAGGAUAAUAUUUGGGACCUAAAAAACAGGAAGUCCCAGCUUAGGAGAGAGGAGAAGGGAAGUACUAGGACAGAAGCUAGGACUUAUACAGUAGGGGAUAGAGGCCUCUAGGAGAGAUGUUUCCAGAAGGAAGUGAAUCACAUGGAAUGCCUGUUAUGGAUGAAUAUCUUAAAAGGGAUCUUCAGAAUUUGAUGAUGAUAAGUAAUAGCUAGAUAGGAAAGUGAAUAAGGAAAUAAAUGAGGCCAUUAUUGAAUCUAGUGAAAACAAUAUGCAAAAAAGGAUAUAGCAUAUGUCUUGGCUGUGAAUAAAUAUGUAAUUAUAACAAGAUAAUUGCUGAAUGGGAGUUUAACCCAAAGGGGUGUUAUAAUUAUUUUUGAAAAAAGGGAGGUGACCUUACGUGUGUUUACAUAAAUGUGCAUGUGUCUAGGAAGUGAGGGUGGGAGAGUUAAAUCCUUGUCUUCUAGAGUUAGGAAGUCCAUAGACUAUACGCACAAUUGAAAAGUAAGGACAGAACAUUAAAUAUGUGUUCUUAGAAAAUAUGAGCAUAAGGCCGGGCACAUUGGCUCAUGCCUGUAAUGCCAGCACUUUGGGGGGCCAAGGUAAGAGGACUCUGUGAGCCCAGGAGUUGGAGACCAGCCUGGGCAACAUAGUGAGACCUCAUCUCUACAAAACAUUUUUAAAAAUUGGCCAGGCAUGGUGGCAUGCACCUGUAGUCCCAGCUACUUAGGAGGCUGAGGUGGGAGGAUCAUAUGAGCCCCAGAGUUUCAGUCUGCAGUGAGCUGGGAUUGUGCCACCACACUCCAGCCUGGGUGACAGAGUAGGACGCUGUCUCACACACAAAAAAAGGAAAAGAAAGUAGAGUAAAUUCUCUCAUAUACAAAAGAAAUAUAUAAGAGAUAAAUGUAAGAGAAGGAAUUGGGAGUGGGAGUGUGUGGUGUGGGCAACUACUAUUUUUGUUAACAAAUCUAGAAAUACCAUUUGAAUUUUAAGAUUAUAAAUAUUUGAUAUAAGGAAAAAUUUUUAAGUUUUAAAAAGUUAUUCACUAAUACAAGUGGUAGUAAGUGGCACGACUGUCACUCAAAUUCCAAUCUGUCUAAAUCUUGAAGCUUUAAAAAAUUGUUAUGACUACAGUACACUACAGCAAAGGGAAGGAAAAGUCAAAUAUUACUUCAAGGUCUCUUUCCUGGGAGACUACAAGAAAAGUUGCAUGCAGAAAUCAGUGUAACAAGAGCAAGAAGAGUUACGUAGGAUUAUCCACAUCCUGCUUCACCUCCUGCUUCAUAGCUCAGGCAAGCACUUCCCUGUGCUCUGCUGUGCACAGCCAGUUUAUCAGUGUGGGAAAAAAUCUAUAAAUAGGAUGGAGGUUUACAUAAAAGAGAAACAUAGGAAAAGAAAGGGGAAUAAAAAAGAAACUGUAGAGCGAAUUUGGGGGUUAAUGCAGAGGAAAAAGCUAAAGUGAGAGACAUCACAUCAGCUGUGAGAGAGAAACCCAGAAAAUGAAUGGCAGGGGCAUCUGGGACAGGUUUCUCUUGGUAACAAGUUGACCCUUUAAAUAGACUGCAAGAUGUAUUUGCAGUUUUUAUUUGGAUGCUGAAUGAAAUUUCUUUUGAGUAUAACAACCACAUGAGCUCAAGAUUUUAUUUGGGCAAUGAUAUGGUUUGGCUGUGUCCCCACCCAAAUCUCAUCUUGAACUGUAGUUCCUAUAAUCUCCACAUGUCAUGGGAAGGACCUGGUGGGAGGUAAUUGAAUCAUGGGGGCGGUUACCUCCAUGCUGUUCUCUUGAUAGUGAUUGAGUUCUCAUGAGACCUGAUGGUUUUAUAAGGGGCUUUUCCCCUGCGUCACUCCACAUUUCUCCUUGCUGCUGCCAGGUGAAGAAGGACUUGUUUGCUUCCCCUUCCAACACGAUUGUAAGUUUCCUGAGGCCUCCCUAACCAUGCUGAACUGUGAGUCAAUUAAACCUCUUUCCUUUAUAAAUCACCCAGUCUCAGGUAUGUCUUUAUUAGCAGUGUGAGAAUGGACUAAUACAGCAAAUUGGUACCAGGUAGUGAGGUGCUGUUGUAAAGAUACCCAAAAAUGUGGAAGUGACUUUGGAAUGGGGUAACAGGCAGAGGUUGGAACAGUUGGGAGGGCUCAGUAGAAGAUAGGAAAAUGUGGGAAAGUUUGAAACCUCCUAGAGACUUGGAGGGCUCAGAAGAUAGGAACAGGUGGGAAAGUUUAGAGCUUCUUAGAGACUUGUUGAAUGGCUUUGACCAAAAUGCUGUUAGUGAUAUGGACAAUGAAGUCCAGGCUGAGAUGGUCUUAGAUGGAGAUGAGGAAGUUGUUGGGAACUGGAGUAAAGGUCACUCUUGCUAUGCUUUAGCAAAGAGAAUGGCAACAUUUUGCCCUUGCCUUAGAGAUCUGUGGAACUUUGCACUUGAGAGAGAUGAUUUAGGGUAUCUGGUGGAAGAAAUUUCUAGACAGCAAAGCAUUCAAGAGGAAGCAGAGCAUAAAAGUUUGAAAAAUUUGCAGGCUGGCAAUGCAAUAGAUUAAAAAAACCCAUUUUCUGGGGGAGAAAUUCAAGUUGGCAACAAAUUUGCAUAAGCAAUGAGAAGAAGAAUGUUAAUCACUAAAACAGUGGGGAAA
rnacentral:lncRNA from 1 species